rnacentral:rRNA from 1 species
GACGAACGCUGGCGGCGUGCCUAAUACAUGCAAGUCGAACGCAGUGGGGACGGGCGAGUAACACGUGGGUAACCUCCCAUCAGAGGGGAUAACACUUGGAAACAGGUGCUAAACCGAUACUGAUGGCUGGACCCGCGGUUCAUUAGCUAGUGUGUGAGGUAACGGCUCACAAAGGCCCAGAUGCAUAGCCUACUGGAGAGGGUGAUCGGCCCCACUGGGACUGAGACACGGCCCCGACUCCUACGGGAGUCAGCAGUGGGGAAUAUUGCACAAUGGGCGCAAGCCUGAUGCAGCCAUGCCGCGUGUAUGAAGAAGGCGUUAGGGUUGUAAAGUACUUUCAGCGGGGAGGCGUUACCCGCAUAAGAAGCACCGGCUAACUCCGUGCCAGCAGCCGCGGUAAUAC